UUGGAGGGCAAGUCUGGUGCCAGCAGCCGCGGUAAUUCCAGCUCCAAUAGCGUAUAUUAAAGUUGUUGCAGUUAAAAAGCUCGUAGUUGAAUUUCGGGAUCAAAUUGUCGGUCGUGCCUCGGUACGCACUGGUAUUAUUGGUUCCUACCUUCUGAAGAACCGCGAUGUCAUUAAUUUGGUGUCGUGGGGAAUCAGGACUGUUACUUUGAAAAAAUUAGAGUGUUUAAAGCAGGCUUACGCUUGAAUACAUUAGCAUGGAAUAAUGAAAUAGGACGUUUGAUUCUAUUUUGUUGGUUUCUAGGAUUGACGUAAUGAUUAAUAGGGAUAGUUGGGGGCAUUAGUAUUCAAUUGUCAGAGGUGAAAUUCUUGGAUUUAUUGAAGACUAACUACUGCGAAAGCAUUUGCCAAGGAUGUUUUCAUUAAUCAAGAACGAAAGUUAGGGGAUCGAGGACGAUCAGGUACCGUCGUAGUCUUAACCAUAAACUAUGCCGACUAGGGAUCGGAUGAUGUUAAUUUUUUAAUGACUCAUUCGGCGCCUUACGGGAAAC
rnacentral:rRNA from 1 species